UUUCCGGCGUUAUUCGUCUUCAGUAUGUGACGAAAAUUAGGAAUACCAAUCUUUUCUUAAGCGACGACGCUGCGGAUAUUACUGGAGAAUUUACUAAGUCAACACCAUUAAAAUCGAGCACAAUAAUAUACGAAAAUGAUAUAGAGGUCGUUGCUAAAGUCAGCGACCCCUCAACAGGAAGCACCGUUAUUAAUUCCGUUAUUGUUAAACUCAAACGUGAUGGAAAAAUGAAGUGGACUUUAGAACCAAAGCGGAACGAUUUUCAACCUGGUUUGCCAUUCGUAACGUUUCUCAAGUUUCAGAACUUAAAAACGUCUACAAUGCCUGUAAAAGUCAAAAUUAUCGAAAAGAAACUAA